rnacentral:rRNA from 1 species
AUGAACGCUGGCGGCGUGCCUAAUACAUGCAAGUCGAGCGAACAGACGAGGAGCUUGCUCCUCUGACGUUAGCGGCGGACGGGUGAGUAACACGUGGAUAACCUACCUAUAAGACUGGGAUAACUUCGGGAAACCGGAGCUAAUACCGGAUAAUAUAUUGAACCGCAUGGUUCAAUAGUGAAAGACGGUUUUGCUGUCACUUAUAGAUGGAUCCGCGCCGCAUUAGCUAGUUGGUAAGGUAACGGCUUACCAAGGCAACGAUGCGUAGCCGACCUGAGAGGGUGAUCGGCCACACUGGAACUGAGACACGGUCCAGACUCCUACGGGAGGCAGCAGUAGGGAAUCUUCCGCAAUGGGCGAAAGCUUGACGGAGCAACGCCGCGUGAGUGAUGAAGGUCUUCGGAUCGUAAAACUCUGUUAGUAGGGAAAAACAAAUGUGUAAGUAACUAUGCACGUCUUGACGGUACCUAAUCAGAAAGCCACGGCUAACUACGUG